ACCUUCGGGUGAAGACCGAGUGGCGAACGGGUGAGUAACACGUGGGGAACCUGCCCUUCUCUCUGGGAUAACUCCGGGAAACCGGAGCUAAUACCGGAUACUCCUUGCGGACCGCAUGGUCUGCUCGGGAAAGCUCCGGCGGAGAAGGAUGGCCCCGCGGCCCAUUAGCUUGUUGGUGGGGUAACGGCCCACCAAGGCGACGAUGGGUAGCCGAGCUGAGAGGCUGAUCGGCCACACUGGGACUGAGACACGGCCCAGACUCCUACGGGAGGCAGCAGUGGGGAAUCUUGCGCAAUGGGCGAAAGCCUGACGCAGCAACGCCGCGUGCGGGAUGAAGGCUCUCGGGUCGUAAACCGCUUUCAGCAGGGAUGAAAAUGACAGUACCUGCAGAAGAAGCCCCGGCUAAAUACGUGCCAGCAGCCGCGGUAAUACGUAUGGGGCAAGCGUUAUCCGGAUUCAUUGGGCGUAAAGCGCGCGUAGGCGGCUUGUUAAGUCAGGCGUGAAAUCCGGGGGCUCAACCCGCGGCUUGCGUCUGAAACUGGCAGGCUUGAGUCUGGUAGAGGAAAGUGGAAUUCCUGGUGUAGCGGUGAAAUGCGCAGAUAUCAGGAGGAACACCAGUGGCGAAGGCGGCUUUCUGGGCCACGACUGACGCUGAGGCGCGAAAGCUAGGGGAGCGAACAGGAUUAGAUACCCUGGUAGUCCUAGCCGUAAACGAUGGGCACUAGGUGUGGGGGGUCAUCGACUCCCUCCGUGCCGAAGCUAACGCAUWAAGUGCCCCGCCUGGGGAGUACNGCCGCAAGGCUAAAA
rnacentral:rRNA from 1 species